rnacentral:lncRNA from 1 species
CCACCUCCAGCACAACUCCUAUCGACCCUCUCUCUCCUUUUCCGUGAAAGAAAGAAAAACAGAUCUUGCUCCUAUAAGCCGAUCUGCCUUUAACUGAUCCAUGCUAUGCUAGGGCAAGGCCGAGAUUCGGAUCAUGUAGCUCUCCUAGAGCAAAUCUUGCCAUGUGAAGUUCGAAUCACGUCACCUGACGAGGAGACGCGCCAGCCCGAUCGUGGCUAUUAGCAUGUUCUUCUCCCCCUGAAACCUCCUUGCUCUCCUUGACGGCAGGGGAGAACAAAAUCAGGAUGAUGCAUGCUGCACUUACAUGGCUAGAGACGCAAUACUCACAGGCUCUGUUAGUUGAUGUUGUCCCUGCACAGGAGCAGCAACGACGUAGUCCCUGCACAGAAGUCUAAUUGCAUGCCCCAUGCCCCAUGAGAGGAAACGUGAUGUGGAGGCAUGGAGCACGGGGUGUGAGAAGACAGAUUCCUCUCCUGUGCAGAUUUUGGCUGCUGUUGCUACAAAUCGUAUGCCAUGAAAUCUACUCUGAGGUGAGCACACUCGUACGGCUUGAAUCGAUCAAUUAAUAUUAUUAGUUUAUUUUAGAUUUUAUCUGUUGUUACCACAGAUGGUAUCAGCUUUGCGUCUAUUUCGUGCAUAGUAAAUUAGGCAACUAUUUAGGUCUUCAAGAUAAGUCUAGGAUAGUCUUGCAUAAUAUGAAAAAGAUUUAGGAAAUUUUUUUAGUAUAUUUAGCAUAAUCAGAAUUUAGUUUCUGAUUUGGCAUGUCAACUUGCAGAAUGCAGGAAAGUUUGUCGGCCCCCCAAGUUCAUACCACGUCUGAAGCAAGCCUAGGAGAGUUAUGAGGUCGCUCCUAUAUAUAUGUUACCAUUGAUCAGAUCUUUCCCAUGUAAAAACUAUGACGGGUGUGUUUUGAUCUGAUAGUCUGCCAGUUCGGCAAGUGCAUGUUCUAGGAUAAAUUUCUCCUUUCUACUUUGAUUAAGUACGACCAGGCUGAUAGUUGAGUUAACGUUUUACUUUUAGCUUUUCUAGAGUCCAGACUCUAAUAAGGUUGUUGGGUAAUAGAUAAUAAGCUGCCUUUUUGUAGCUUAAAUGAAG